rnacentral:rRNA from 1 species
GACGAACGCUGGCGGCGUGCUUAACACAUGCAAGUCGAACGAUGACGACCGAGCUUGCUCGGUCUGAUUAGUGGCGAACGGGUGAGUAACACGUGAGCAACCUGCCCUUCACUCUGGGAUAACCUCGGGAAAUCGGGGCUAAUACCGGAUAUGAGCUCCUGUCGCAUGGCGGGUGUUGGAAAGUUUUUCGGUGAAGGAUGGGCUCGCGGCCUUUCAGUUUGUUGGUGAGGUAGUGGCUCACCAAGGCGAUGACGGGUAGCCGGCCUGAGAGGGCGACCGGCCACACUGGGACUGAGACACGGCCCAGACUCCUACGGGAGGCAGCAGUGGGGAAUAUUGCACAAUGGGCGAAAGCCUGAUGCAGCGACGCCGCGUGAGGGAUGACGGCCUUCGGGUUGUAAACCUCUUUCAGCAGGGAAGAAGCGAAAGUGACGGUACCUGCAGAAGAAGCGCCGGCUAACUACGUG